rnacentral:rRNA from 1 species
CCUACGGGUGGCAGCAGUGGGGAAUAUUGCACAAUGGGGGAAACCCUGAUGCAGCAACGCCGCGUGAGUGAAGAAGUAAUUCGUUACGUAAAGCUCUAUCAGCAGGGACGAAAUACUGACCUUACGGUCAGCAGACGGUACCUGAGUAAGAAGCCCCGGCUAACUACGUGCCAGCAGCCUCGGGAAUACGUAGGGGGCAAGCGUUGUCCGAAUUUACUGGGUGGAAAGGGAGCGUAGACGGUGCGACAAGUCUGGAGUGAAAUGCCGCAGCUUAACUGCGGAACUGCUUUUGAAACUGGCGAACUAGAGGGCGGGAGGGGUAAGCGGAAUUCCUAGUGUAGCGGUGAAAUGCGUAGAUAUUAGGAGGAACACCGGUGGCGAAGGCGGCUUACUGGACCGUAACUGACGUUGAGGCUCGAAAGCGUGGGGAGCAAACAGGAUUAGAUACCCCUGUAGUC